rnacentral:miRNA from 1 species
GAGCUGUGGGUUGGUGUUGAUGG